GGUUGGUUAGCUUAACAGGCAGAGCGCUCGGUUGAAGCCCGACAGGAUAAGGUUCGAGUCCUUGACCAACCA
rnacentral:tRNA from 1 species